UAGAGGUCCUGCAAACAUGGCCGACGUCGCGAGGAUGCCUCCUUAAGAUGGGAAGCAGAUGGAGCAACAUUCCAGACAAAUCUCCAAGCAGUCGGCCGAGUUGCAGCAUUCCCCCAGCAUCCCGCAGUCCCACGACGCCUGACACGCCUCGUCGGUGCACGGUGCCUCCACGCAGCAGCAGCGGCAGCAGUCGUUGGCAGCGGCGCAGCAGCAGGCCACACCCCCUGCGCACGGCAGACACGCCCCCACGGCCGAGCACAUGGACAGAAGCUCGCAGAACAAGCACGCCAGCAGACAGUGAACGCAGCAGUCUGUAGAGACAGUGAACGCAACAUAUAGAAACAGUGAAUGUAUCGCCUUUUUAACCACCUGUUCGGUCAGUGAAGGCACCAUGACUUGAAAUAAUUCGCAGACCCUGAAUGUGUCGUCUUUACAACUGUCUGCGUGGACAGUGAACGCAACCGUGGAGGAGAGGCGAUUUUUGAAUCAAAGUCUACACAGAUGCAGCGUUCAAUGACUCAGAUGAUUGACAGGAAAGUGAAGGCAUCAUGACUUGAAUAAUGUGCACUGUCUGCAGGGAUAGUGAACACAAUACAGGACCGUAAAGGCAUCAUCGUCUCAAAAUAAUCUGCACAGAUGUUGCGUUUAAUGACUCAGAAGAUUGACAGAAACAGUGAAGGCAUCAUGAUUUAAAUAUCAUGCACUGUCUAUCAUUGUUUCAAAAUAAUCUGCACACAUUAAAUGCGCCGCCUUUACAGCAGUCUGCAAAAACAGUAAAUGCAACACAGGACCGUAAAGGCAUCAUCGUUUCAAAAUAAUAUGCACACAGUGAAAGCGUCGUCUUUACAGCUGCCUGCAGGGACAGUAAACACAACACAGGAUAGAGAAAGGUACUCCCCCUUCCGCCUGAUGUUUGGUCGAGAGGCACGGAUGUUUACGGAGGUUACAACUGAGUGUCCUGAGGUGAUGGCAGCUCCUGACCAGGCUGAUUCUCUGGAGGCCUUUGUGCAGCUCCGAGUUGGCCAGGAUGAGGACGUUUUUGGAAAGGUGAUCAACAAUGUGGAGAGGGCCCAAGAGAGACAGAAAUUGGAUGAAGAGGGGGUCAAGCGCUUCAUCAUCCAACCUGGAAUGGAGGUCCUCAAGAAGGAUGCGAGGAAGAAAGGGAGACCUGGGCGAACCAUGGACCCAAACUGGAGCCAGACCAUCUACAGCUCAAUACAUCAGUUUGAUUGUUAUCUGUGAAAACAUUUGCAAAGAAAAAAUUAUUUGAUUGGAAACCAAGUAAAUGGUGGUCUUUGACUAUUGUACUCUAGGAUUGUAAUUCAGUCUGAAUGUACUCACAUGCUUGAAUGCAAUAUUGAAUUCUAACCACAACGUUACUGGUAAAAUGUUUCAUGAUUGUCAUAUUGGUGAUGACCAAGCCAGAACUCAUUCCCUUGAUGUUACGGAGUUAUGCAGGUAAUAGGUUUACUCUAUAAAAUAUAAAUUUCUUGUAGUAAACCCAAAGGCUGUAUACAUUUUCAUGGUGCUAAUGUGUAUUACCAGGAGAUCCCACGCCAGACCUCGGGGAAUGACUGUGGUGUUUUCAUGCUCAUGUACUCCCUCUGGCUCUGUACGGACACUACUUUUCACUACAGUGUGCUGGACAUGCAGUCAAUCCGGCGUUGGUGGUGUGUCCUUCUAAUGGAGCGCUUUGGCAUUGAAGGGUAGGACAACUUCUUGAAAUAUCUGAUGUAUUGUUUACCAUGAUUAGUAACUGCCUGCGAUGAGGUGGCGACUUGUCCAGGGUGUACCCUGCCUUCCGCCCGAAUGCAGCUGAGAUAGGCUACAGCGACCCCCCGUGACCCCAAAAAGGGACAAGCGGUAGAAAAUGGAUGGAUGGAUGGAUUAGUAACUGUAAUCUGAAGAGCUUUUCUUCAAUUUCCCCAAAGGCAUGGCCAGAGGUUCUGUUAAUGGACAGACAAGGCGAGCGGCCUAUUGCAGGGCAUUCUUCAGCCAGUCUUUAGGGUAUCCAGAAACUCAGUCCAGGCCAUCGACUGCGUCAUCAAAGAAUAACUGAAUACAGUACUGGUAUGCCGUGACACAAAAGUGAAUAAAUUGUAUCAUACCUAUGUUGCUCCAUAAAAAAACAUGAUUGGAGAAAUAUGUAAGCUGGGGGAAAAAAAUAACUGGUUCAAAAAUAAUAAUCUAAUAACCUUUAUUGGUUUGUACCUUGAUGUGGUUUAAGAGCUUUUCACUAUAACAUGUCUACUUCUGAGGUGACCACCACUUGUGAUUAUAAUUGAUGCUUUGUCCUUUAUCUGUGUUCCCCAUU